rnacentral:lncRNA from 1 species
CCGCUUCAAGCCCUCCCAGCGCACCAUCGUCUCCGACUUCGUCACCUCCCUCUCCUCCGACCCUUCUUUGGCUCAGGCCCCUCCUUCCGUCUCCCAGUGGUGGAAGACGGUCGACAAGUACUACCACCUCUCCUCCUCCAAGAGGCACGCUCCCUCUCUCAGGCUCUCCCUCGGGAGGCAAGUCCUCGACGAGAGCUACUCGCUAGGGAAGUCCCUCACGAGCAAGCACCUCGUCGAGCUCGCGUCCCGGGGCGAACAGCGGAACGCCAUCAACGUCGUUCUCACCUCCUCCGACGUGGCCGUCGAGGGAUUCUGCAUGAGCCGGUGCGGCUCCCACGACUCCGCCGUCGGUUCCGUCAAGGUCAAGGGCAGGAGCUCGAGGUUCGCGUACAUCUGGGUGGGCAACUCGGAGACGCAGUGCCCGGGGCAGUGCGCGUGGCCGUUCCACCAGCCCCUGUACGGCCCGCAGAGCCCCCCGUUGGUGGCGCCCAACGGGGACGUCGGCGUCGACGGGAUGGUGAUCAACCUUGCAGGCCUCCUCGCCGGGACCGCCACGAACCCGUUCUCAAACGGGUACUACCAGGGCGAGGCGGGGGCGUCGCUGGAGGCGGCGUCAGCGUGCACCGGGAUCUACGCCAAUGGGGCAUACCCUGGCUACGCCGGGAACUUGCUGGUGGAGGAGGCGACGGGGGCGAGCUACAACGCGCACGGCGUGAACGGGAGGAAGUACCUGGUCCCGGCUCUCUACGAUCCGUCCACGUCGUCGUGUUCGACUCUGGUGUGAGUGAAGUGGCGACAGAUAGAAACUAUGACGUUUAGGCUACCAAAUUAAUUCAUUCAUUUGUUUAUUGGUUCUGCAGUUCCUCUAUAUUAUUGUCAUUAUAUUUAAUGAAAAAGGCAAACUACUUUUAUUUGCUACAAUUACGUGAGCCAUGGAAAAUCAACCGGACAAAAUCCACUCUUAAUCUGAGGAGUUCAGCUCUUCACUCACAGAAAUCAAUAAACCGACCGGGCUAAUUACACCAUUUGUGGAAGAAAAGAUAAUUACGUAGUGAAAUUACCCAUUUAGUUUUUAAGGGAACAGAUGGAGGGGCUUAGGUCGACGGAGCGUGAGAAAUCCAUUAUUAAUACUGGCGUAAGUCAUUGGUUAUGGCAAAAGGCACAUGGGAUGAGAACUUUUUCUUUUCUAAGUGAAGGUGCUGCAUAUGACACGAACGUUAUUUAACUUAACAGCAACCCCAAAUGAUUAUAACUUUAUGGUUUAUUCAAAUUAUUCCUAUUAGGUGCUCAUCGUGGUGAAAAUAGUUAAGUUGUUAUAUAUGGUUUCUAAGGGACAAGGUGCGAUGCUCCUCACAGACCCCCAGGGAGACAUCUGAAAUGAGUCAUUUCUUACAAAUGUGGCUUGACCACGGCUAACUUUCUUAUAUUCAUGUAAAUUAAUCUUAUACUUAACUACACUUGAGGUGGGAGCUUUUAUCAUACCGUGAGUCAAGCAACUAGUCACUUACAUUAACCAUUGGAUGAAGCCCAUAUUACAUCAUACUCCUUCAAUUUACCAGUCAAGAAAUAAUAAUAUAGAAUAUAGAUUUGAGGAAUUUUUGUAUAUAGUUCGAUGUCUAGAAAAGAGUAUAUAGAGAGCUUAAAUUUUAACUUUAAUAGAUGAUUAUUUAAGGAAACUAUAUUAGAUAUGGAUUAUUAGAAUAGAUAUAGAAAAUUAUAGAAAAUAUCCUAAAUAUCUUUAAAUAUUAACUUUGAUAGAUGAUUAUUUAAGGAAACUAUAUUAGAUAUGGAUUAUUAGAAUAGAUAUAGAAAAUUAGAGAAAAUAUCCUAAAUAUCUCUAGAAGAAAUCAACACAUGUCUAACAUCCAAUUUCAAACUCACAAGGACUAAUUCAACUUGAGUUUGAAAUCAAAUUAAAUCACAUCCGGCGAUUGAGAUGUGGCGAAUGAGGUGGCUUCUACGUUGUUUGUGGUGAAACUCCCAAAUCUAGCUAAUUUGAGGGAGGCAAGUUUGAUGGUGGUUUUGACUUUACAAAAUGAUGCAGGUUGAGAAUUGGAGGGCAAAAUGCUAGCUGCUAUUGUGGCUAGCUUGCAGAAUGGUAACUGACCGAUAUGGCUAGUACAACUAGUGUCGCAACAUCAGGCGACUUAUAUGAUAGGCUUGGGAAAAUAGUUACUAAGUGAUGUGACCUCUCCAACUACCAUAGAAAAAGCCACCUUAGUGAUAAAGGUUCAAUUGGGCAAUGCGAGCGGCACAAUUGGUGUGGAAUGGAUUGGAUUAAGUGUUUCCUCAAAUUAGACUUAUAUGUAUGAAGUGAAAACUGUUGACUGUUGAGCAGUAGGGAUGGAUGAUUUAUUUGGGUGUACAUUAGGGUGCUUGGGGAGCAUGGGUGUAUCAAUGCAAAGUGUACCUAGUGUACUAGGGUUGCCUUAGCAAAGAGGUUCUAAUACCAAGUCAAAAAUGAAAAAAACCCCAAAUUAUUAUAGACGUACUAAAUGUACUUUCCAAUAUUUUUUCGUUAAAUUUUACCAUAAAAAAACUGAGUUAAAUGACAUGUGAUAAUUGACAAGUGUACCAGCUCAAGGGUUUACUCUUCAUUUGUUACAGAUGUAUCAAUUUAUGAUUUUUCGUGAUAUUAAUUCAAUUUAAUAAAAAUUAACGAAGGUAAAUUUCUCAUAAAUAUAUCAGUUUGAGGUUUAAAAAAUUAAUUUUGGAUAAAUUUAUCAUUGGUGUACAAUUUUGGGGUUUUUAAUGAUAAAAAAAAUUAAUUCAAGGUAAAUUUGUCAUAGUGUACUAAUUUGGAGUUUUUCAUGAUAUUAAACUAAAAUAAUAAUGCAGAAGAUAGAUUUGAGGAAGUUCUUUAUAUAGUUCGAUUUAUAGAAAAUAGUACAUGAAGAUUUUAUUUAUAGACUUUAAUAGAUGACUAUGUAAGGAAAAGGGAUUAGAUAUGCACAAUCGAAAUAGAUAAAAAAAAAAUCAGAAAUAAUUUCUUAAAUAUUACUAAAAGAUAUAUGCAUUUCUCUAACAUCACCAUUGAUCCACCGCUGCAAUAAUUGUUAACGAUGUUUAUAAUUUUCAGGAAAAUUUGUGUCGAUUAAUGAUAGACAUCGAAACUCGGACAUGAGAUCCAUGGCAUGGCAUGCUCAAAAGAGCUGCGUCGCUAAACCUAUAAAAAAUGUGGAUUCGCACUUAGCUAACACGCCCAUCCUUGACAAUUAGCUCCACCGCCACCACCAACUAGCGUGUCUCCUUCUCGCGACCCAAGAGGCAGGCCACUGAUUGGUUUCGUUCUCUCGGUCAAAACUCUUGUUUUUCCCUUAGCUGUUAAUGCCCUGUAAUGAAAUGUAUAACUGUUGGACCGAGAGUUUUGACUUUUUGCCAACGAAAACAAUUCAUUAACAAGCAAAUGUGUCAAAUCAAGUUGGCCUCUCUUUCCUUUACUUCACCAUUCUCUCCUCACUACCAUCCUCUCACCUUCCCCCUCUCUUGCCAAAUCUAACUUCAUUUCUUUCGCUCAGCUACUCCUAAGGGCUCCAAUCGGCCUUCUCUUUCUCAUUUCUACCCAUCAUAUUAAUCAGACCUGUGUGUUCUAUCUUGGGCAAUCUUCUCAAUGGGGGGUUUUGUAUAUGCAUGUUUUUCCUAUAUAGAAAUAUUCACAGUGUGGUCCCUUUUGCGAUCCAUUACCUUGGAUUUUUUUACUAAAGAGCUGAACCAUAAAAUUGAAAUUGGUCGAAAACUUGGUUGGAUCUUGGUUCGAGAAAAGGAUACAAUUUGACCUUGGGGAUCCUAUUUAGAUUUAUACCAUUGAGUAUAACAAAAUCUCAAUUGGAUCGUGGAUCGAGUUAAACACUCUUGUAACCUUAGUUUAUUUUAUUUUAUUUUAUUUUAUUUAUUUGGCUGCAUGUGCUCAGUUAUGAAUAAUAUGGAUGACGUGUCAUAUGCUAGUGCAAGAGUUUAGGUGAUUUUAGGACAAACCCAAGCUUUUGGUCACACCACUCAAUUCCCACGCGUUACAUUAUCCCUUUCGCUUUACUCAUCCCAUAUAUUUAUCAUUGGUCAACCAAGGCCACUAUUGGUAAUAAAUAAAUAAAAACCAAGACUGCCGCGUAGCGCAAAACUCACGAGUGUGGCCCAGCGGGGGCCUCCAAUAUGAUGGAGUACCAUCGACCACCUCUGAAAAAGUCGUCCUAACAGCGUAAAUGCAAUGAUAAUUGAACGCCUAGUCGAGCACCAGUUGUCAUUUGUUAAUCUUGCUGGUGAAGAUGCAACUGGGAAUGGCAAUACCACAUCAUCUCCUCCAAAUUUAAUUAUUACAUUCAUGAGCUGCCCUCCUUUGUCUCUUUCCAGGCAGGUUCCGGCACUUUAACCCCACUUCUACGUUCCCAACUUCAUAUCUAUUUAUUAUUAUAUUAUAUAGUCGUAAAAUAAAAUAAUCGAAGCAUCACCCCAUCCCCAACCUUCUAUAAAUACUCCUCGCUUCGACACAACCCACAAUUUCAACAAAGCGAGAAGCUACCUCAGCUUUCACCUUUCCUCUUUCCUCAGUCUCAGCCAAAACUCAGCUACAAUGGCAUCCUUCUUCUUCACUUCUAAGACAGCUCUUCCAAAGCUAUUCCUUGCCCUCUGCCUCCUCCAGAUGGCCUCCGCCACCAGGAGGCUGGCCGAGCUGGUCCAAGACCAGUCCCCGCCCAUGAAGUACCACAAUGGCCCUCUCCUCUCCGGCAAGAUCUCCGUCAACCUCAUCUGGUACGGCCGCUUCCAGCCCUCCCAGCGCACCAUCGUCUCCGACUUCGUCACCUCCCUCUCCUCCGACCCUUCUUUGGCUCACGCCCCUCCUUCCGUCUCCCAGUGGUGGAAGACGGUCGAUAAGUAUUACCACCUCUCGUCCUCCAAGAGGCCCACGCCUUCACUCACGCUCUCGCUCGGGAGGCAAGUCCUCGACGAGAGCUACUCCCUCGGGAAGUCCCUCACGAGCAAGCACCUCGUCGAGCUCGCGUCCCGGGGCGAGCAGCAGAACGCCGUCAACGUCGUGCUCACCUCCUCCGACGUGGCCGUCGAGGGAUUCUGCAUGAGCCGGUGCGGCUCCCACGACUCCGCCAUCGGUUCCGUCAAGGUCAACGGCAAGAGCUCCAGGUUCCCUUACAUUUGGGUGGGCAACUCGGAGACGCAGUGCCCGGGGCAGUGCGCGUGGCCGUUCCACCAGCCCCAGUACGGCCCACAGAGCCCGCCGCUGGUGGCGCCCAACGGGGACGUCGGCGUCGACGGGAUGGUGAUCAACCUGGCAGGCCUCCUCGCCGGGACCGCCACGAACCCGUUCUCAAACGGGUACUACCAGAGCGAGGCGGGGGCGUCGCUGGAGGCGGCGUCGGCGUGCACCGGGAUCUACGGCAAUGGGGCGUACCCAGGCUACGCCGGGAACUUGCUGGUGGAUGAGGCGACGAGGGCGAGCUACAACGCGCACGGCGUGAACGGGAGAAAGUACCUGGUCCCGGCUCUCUACGAUCCGUCCACGUCGUCCUGCUCGACGCUGGUGUGAGGGAAGUGGAGACAGAUUGAAACGAUGACGUUUAGGCUACCAGAUUGAUUAAUUCAUUCGUUUAUUGGUUUUUUCGUUGCUGUAUAUUACUGUAAUUAUAGUUAAUAGAAAAGGCAAACCACUUUUAUUUGCUACAAUUUGCUCUGGUGCAAAGCAAGCGGGCUAAUCCAUUCCUAAUUCGACGAUUUUAGCUCUUCAAUCGCGCUAAUCGAUCAAUCACGCGGGCUCAUAACACCUUUGCUGGAGAAGAAAAAUUUGCGUUGCGAAUGUAUGCUCCAACGGAGGAGCUUAAGUCGAGGACGUGAGAGAAAUCCAUUUCUUAUACAGGUCUAGUCAUUGGUUAUGGCAAAAGGGACUCGGGAUGAGAAUUCUGACUUUUCUCAAUGAAAAUGCCGUAUAUAAGACAAUAAUCCCAAAUGAUUAUCACUUUGUGCUUUGUACAAAUUAUUGCUUUUAGGUUCCCAGCGAUAGUUAGAUUGUAACAAAUGUUAUGGAAGUUGGUUCCUCAUGAAAUAGGAUAGAUUGGGCCAUAUAUGAUUUUGAGGAAAGAGAGCGAUUGCUGAGUUUGGACGAAGUGUGACGCUCCUUAUGACUUCUAUGGAGGCAAAGGUCACUCGUCUAGUAGGACCGUAUUGCAGGGAGAUAUGGGCAAUCAUGUCGUGUAUGUUAAUUCUUUAAGUCAGAGCUGCCAUCGCUUGUAUCUGUCGAGAUCACCAAGGCUUUGUGGUGGACGGAUUUGCGAAGCCAGUCGAUGCGGCUUCGGCUUCUCAAGCAAAGGCGAUCGCAAUGGACGAAACCCUAAAGUUCAUCGAAAGCCGACGCUUUCUCUCUCCUCAAGUACACUCUCACUAUUUAUCUCUGGUGCACGCGUUAAAGUCUUCGACUGAACUCAACUGGGAACUGCAACCGAUUGUGAGCCGGGCCCAAGCUAAACUCGCCCAACUCCCGGGCCUCUCCCUAGCCCACUACAACCGUAGCUCAAAUUGCCCCACGGACUGGAUAGCCAAGGCUUGUCGGAACAACUCCUUACCCCCGAACUGGAUAUCAUAUCCCCCUGCUUUAUUUGAUCUUUUAUGCACUGAUGUUAUGGGUGUUAUCUUCCCACAUAUGAAAUAGUAAAUAAAGUGAUGAUGUUUGAUGAUAAAAAAAAAAGGUCAGAGAAAUUAUAAUAUUCUAAAAUCUCACAUCAUAUAUAACCAAUCUUUUAAAUGACUCAUCAAUUAAUAUUCAUAUUGAAAACGACCACCUCCUUAUUUGACUUCUCCAAGUAUUCCUUUUGGGAGAUUUUAGAUGUGAAUUGAGUCAAUUGUUACAAAUGUGGCUUGGCAACAACAAAUUUCUUAUUUUCAAAUAAAUUAACUACACUCGAGGUGGGAGCUUUUGUCAUACCAUAGGUUAAGCAUUUAGUCACUUAUAGUAAUUACUGGAUGAAGCCCGUUGUUACAUCAUACUGCUUUAGUUCAUCGUUGAUCUCUUGGUAAAGACAAACCUUAAUAAUGUUUACAAUUAAUAGGAAAAUUCGUGUUGAUUGAAGAUAGAUAUUGAAGUUGGAUAUUAUAUACACAACAUGCUCAAGAGAGCACCAACAUAAGAUGUGACACGCCAUUCUCUACAAUAAGCUCAACCGCCACCACCAAUUGGUAGGGAAAAUUGUCAAAAAAAAAGUCCAAAACCUAUUACUUUUAUAUCAGUUCCGUUUGACAUUUCAAUUAUGUCAAUUUAGUUCUAAGCUAUUUUGAUGAUUUAUCAAUGUAGUCAUUUUAGAUAAUUUUGAUCGAAAAAUACUGACAUGGUGAUUCAAUCGGCACCAAUCAUCCUACGUGACAGGAUCCGCGAUAUGACUAGAGCAAAUUCAAUUGAAAUGAUGUCAUUUUGCAUUUUAUAUUUAUUUUUUGCUUUUGCUUUUGUGUUUGCUGUUCAUCAUCUUCCAUCCUCUUCUUUCUCUAAGAAAAGUUUCGUUUCUCGACCAAGUCAAGACUCAAUCUUGGAUCCGGCUGCAUCGAACCAGAAAAUGCAGACUUCUUGCUAGCAGAUAUGCUAGAGAGUGCUUUUGCGUCAGAUUGUCUUGCAUACAAUUUUUGCGCUUCAACUUGAAAGCGACGAACUUGAACGUGAGUUGAUUUACUCAUGCGUUAGUUAUAGAUCAUAAUACCGAAAUCGUUUUUAAAGACUUACAAUUCAACUCCAUGUCGCGACGGAGCAAGAGCCCUCCAGAUCUAGGGCUCAAGGUCGAUGUGUGGCGGAGCUCACGAUCUUCCAGCUAGGUUGAGAUCUUGAAGACGCCCGGCUUGACGGCAUUUUCAAACAAUGAUGGAGGAUAGAGUAAGAAGAAGAGCGGUUCGCUUUUUUGCUUCCACAUUCAACAAAGAUGGAGAACAAUGAAAGAAGCAGAUGAAGAGUAAUCUAGGAAAAUAAAAAUCAAAAAUCAAAAUUUAAAAACUUGCAAAAUUUAUAGACGUUGACAUCGAUUAUGUUACAUAUGACAACCGUCGUCUAAAAUUAGUUCAAAUGUCUAUAUUGACAAAUUAUUUAAAAAUUUAUGACUAAAUUGUCAUUAUUGAAUAGUUUAAAUUUGGUAUAAGUGUAAUAAAUUGAGUAUUUUUUGAGUAAUUAUUCCUGAACCAACACAUCCUCUUCUUGUGACCCAAAAGAAGGGCAUCGAUUGGUUUUCCUUUGUUAUGUCAGUCAAAAUAGGAGUCAUUUUUUCCUCUUGGUUGUCCAAUGCCAUGUAAUGAAAUGCAUAAUUGCUGGAUUGAGAGCUUCGGCUUUGUGACAACGAUAACAAUUUGUUCAGAGCAAACGCGUCAAAUCACUCUGGCAUCUCUUAUCUUCACAACUCUCUCCUUGCUACCAUCCUCUCACCUUCCCCCUUUUCUUCAUCGUCAUCAAUCAAAUCCAACUUCAUCUCUCUCCCUCAGCCACAUCCUAGGGGCUCUAAUCGAACUUCUCUUUCCGAUUCCCACCCAUUAGAUUGAUCAGGCUUGUGUGUUCUAUCUUGGGUGAUCUUCUUAACGAGGCAUAUACAUUUUUAAUUUUGUAUAGAAAUAUUCAUUAUGGAUCCUUUUGUGAUCCAUUGCCUUGAAUUGCCUGACUGAAGAGCUAUUUCAUGAAAAGUGAAAUCAAGUGAAAACUUAAUUGGAUUUUGAUUCAAGAAAAUGAUAUAAGUUGACUUUGGUGAGGAAUCAUGUUUUGAUUUUGACAAUUGAGCAUAACAAAAUAUCAAUUUAAUCAUGGAUCGAGUUAAACACUUUAUUAAGCUCAAAAUCUCAAAGUUUCUUGGUGUAAUUCGAGCCGAUUGGAACAAAGUUACUUCCGAAAAUUUCCUUGAGUUCAACCAUCUAACAUUUUUAUUUGCAAAAGAAAAACCUAUGCUUUCUUUGUCUAUUUGCCCAAGCCUACCGAUGCCAAGCCACCAAAGCCUUUAGCCAACAACCAACAUCCAGUCUCUAACCAUCACCACCUAAAAAACUCGGGCGUGCAUUGAAAUCCUAUAAGUCCACUCGAUCUCAUCCAUUGAAAGCCGUGGAUCCCAUGUAGGUGAAGCCUAGGAUCAAGUUGCCUCAUGUGGAUUCUGGCAUGCUUUGCUAUCCACCACUUCCAUGCGCAUGCCUUUGCUCCAAGAGCAUUUCCACCCACCAAUGCGCCUCUCCUGACCUUGGUUUUUUUGUUGUUUUGGCUGUACGUGCUCAGUUUUGAAUUGUACGGAUAGUGUGUCAUUUGUUAACGCAAGAGUUCAGUGAUUUUAGAACAAACCCAGGAUUUCCCUCUCACUCUACUCAUCCCAUAUGCAUAUCGUCGGUCAACCAAGGCCACUAUUCUUGACAAAAAAAAAAAAAAAAAGGCCACUAUUGAUUAGGAAAGGAAGAAAACGAGACCACCACGUACCGCAACACCCACGUGUGGCCCACCCAUGGGCCAAUACCAUCGGCUACCUAAUAAAAAGCUGUCCUAAAAGCGUAACUGAAAUAAUGAUUGAACGCGCAAUCGAGCACUGGUGGCCUUUUGUCAAUCUUGCUGGUGAAGUAACAACUGGGAAUUUCAAGACCAUCAUGAGCUGCGCUCCUUUUGUCUCUUUCUUGGCAGGUUCCGGCACUUUAACCCCACUUCUACGUUCCACCCUCAUAUUUAUUAUUAUAAUAUAUAGUCGUAAAAUAAAAAUUUCGAAGCAUCACCCUUAUCCCAUCCUUGUAUAAAUACUCCUUCCCCCUCCGCACAACCCACAACUUAAACAAAGCGAGAAGCUACCUCAGCUUUCACCUCUCCUCAGUCUCAGCCCAAAACUCAGCUACUACGAUGGCAUCGUUCUUCGCUUCUUCUAAAACAGCUCUUCCAAAGCUAUUCCUCGCCCUCUGCCUCCUCCAGAUAGCCUCCGCCACCAGGAGGCUGGCCGAGCUGGUCCAAGACCAGUCCCCGCCCAUGAAGUACCACAAUGGCCCUCUCCUCUCCGGCCAGAUCUCCGUCAACCUCAUCUGGUACGGCCGCUUCAAGCCCUUCCAGCGCACCAUCGUCUCCGACUUCGUCACCUCCCUCUCCUCCGACCCUUCUUUGGCUCAGGCCCCUCCAUCCGUCUCUCAGUGGUGGAAGACGGUCGACAAGUACUACCGCCUCUCCUCCUCCAAGAGGCGCACUCCUUCCCUCACGCUCUCGCUCGGGAGGCAAGUCCUCGACGAGAGCUACUCCCUCGGGAAGUCCCUCACGAGCAAGCACCUCGUGGAGCUCGCGUCCCGGGGCGAACAGCGGAACGCCAUCAACGUCGUGCUCACCUCCUCCGACGUGGCCGUCGAGGGAUUCUGCAUGAGCCGGUGCGGCUCCCACGACUCCGCCGUCGGUUCCGUCAAGGUCAACGGCAGGAGCUCGAGGUUCGCGUACAUCUGGGUGGGAAACUCGGAGACGCAGUGCCCGGGGCAGUGCGCUUGGCCGUUCCACCAGCCCCUGUACGGCCCGCAGAGCCCACCGCUGGUGGCACCCAACGGCGACGUCGGCGUCGACGGGAUGGUGAUCAACCUGGGAGGCCUCCUCGCCGGGACCGCCACGAACCCGUUCUCGAACGGGUACUACCAGGGCGAGGCGGGGGCGUCACUUGAGGCGGCGUACGCGUGCACGGGGAUCUACGGAAACGGGGCGUACCCCGGCUACGCUGGGAACUUGCUGGUGGAUAAGGCGACGGGGGCGAGCUACAACGCGCACGGCGUGAACGGGAGAAAAUACCUGGUCCCGGCUCUCUACGAUCCGUCCACUUCGUCCUGUUCGACGCUGGUGUGAGGGAAGUGGAGAGAGAUUGAAACGAUGACGUUUAAGCUACCGGACUGAUUCAUUUAUUCGUUUAUUGGUUUUUUUGUUGCUGUAUAUUACGGUCAUUAUAGUUAAUAGAAAAGGCAAGCCACUUUUAUUUGCUACAAUUUUAUUCUCUAGUGCAAAGCAAGCGGGUUAAUCCGUUCUUAAUCUGACGAUUUUAGCUCACUCCUUCAUUAAGUCAGAGAGUUUCUAAAGUCCCAAAAUCUCACAUCACUUAUAAAUAUCCAAUUAAACGACACAUUAAUUAACAUUAACAAUAAACUCCAGAAAGACCACUUUCUUGUAUGGCUAUUCCCAAUAUUCCUUUAGGACGAUUUUAGAUGUGAAUUGAGUCAUUCAUUACAAAUGUGGCUUAACAACAACAAACUUUCUUAUUUUCAUAUAUUAAUCUUAUACUUAACUUCACUUGAGGUUAGGGCUUGUAUUUGGCCUUGUUUGGCAAAAUAUAUUUAUGUUCCUCGGAACAAAAAAUUUAUGUUAUUUUGUUUCGGAGAACAAAAAAAGAAUAAAAACGUGUUUGGUAAAACUUUUGUUCUUGGGAACAAAAAAUCUACUCUUUUGUUCCCGGGAACAGAUUUGGAAUAGAAACAAGAAGUAGAAAAAAGUUGAUUUUUAUUCCCGAAAACAAUUUUGAAAAACACUUCUUUUUCCUUCUUCUUUUUUCUUUCCUUCUCCUUCCUUUUGGCCAGUCGCCAACCUUAAUCAUGGCCGACGACCGGCCAACAAGGGCUGACGACCUCGCUGGAGCGUCAUCGGCCCUCGGCGAGACUGAGCCUCGCCUUGGUUGGGCGAGCUCGAGCUCACCCAAUCGAGCUCGCCUAGCCAAGGCAAGACCGAGCCUUUUCGGGGGUCGGCAACACUUCGGCGAUGUUGCUGGCCCUCAUCAAUCGAUCGCCGACCAUGGUUGAGGUCGGUGACCGACCAAAAGGAAGAAAAAUUAAAAAAAUUAAAAAAAAAUUAAAAGAAACAAUUAAAUUAUACAAGUUUACUAAACGUAUUUCUAUUCCUUGAAUAUAAAUUUUUUGCAGUUAUCAAGCGCGUUCUUAUAUUCAGAAAUUGUUCUUGGAAACAAAAAUAGAAAAAAUUAUUUAUGUUAAAAAAUUAUUCCACUGAAUAGAAACAUUACCAAAUGUGCCCUUAGUUACUUACAUUAAUCAUGGAUGAAGCCCGUCGUUACAUCAUACUCCUUCAAUUCAUCGUUGAUCCACUAAUGAAAACAAUCGUUAAUAAUGUGCACAAUUCAUAAAUUCAUGCCGAUUAAUGAUAAAUAUCAAAGUUUGGACAUUAAUUACAUGAUAAAAUCACGAGUACUGCAUUGCUAACAAACAUAAAAUUUGGAUAAGCACUUAACUAUAGGAGUGAGCAUAGUUCGGGUUGGGCUAGUCCACCCCCUAACCCUAGGACUAACCCGUACAAUAUUGGUCCGAAAUUUUUUGUUUUAUUUUUUGUAUUCCUUGUAAAGGUAAACUUACCAUUUCAAAUUACAUGUCUAUCGAUAAUGCGACAUUAUACAACAGUGUCAUUACAUAUUCAAUGAAUUUAAGAUAAGACAAUAAUAGAAAUUUUUCACCUACUAAAAACAAUAAACCAUAAAAAUGAUUAAUACCGCUCAUAAAAAUAUGGAACAAAAUGGGAAGUUGAUUGGCGAGCAGGGAAGUUCAGUAGGGCGAGAGUUGAGCGGCGAGUGGGAAAGUUGUAUCUUUCAAUUUUGGCAAAUUGAAUAUUAAGAGGACAAAGAAGACAUAAGAGAACAAUUCCUUGAGGAGAACGCCAUGAGGAGCCGUUUAAUGUUGUUGACGUCAUUUGACUUAGGUUUUUCUAAAAAAAAAAAAAAAAAUAUAUAUAUAUAUAUAUAUAUAUUAUAAAUUAGACCGACCUUAAACUCCAAGAAUCAAUAAUCAAUCCAUACAGUGCUGAUUCAAGGGUCUUUGGACUAAGGACCGACUCAGCCCUCUUGGAAACCAGACCAAGACCAACAAAGUUGGGCCGGUCUAAGGUCGGUCCAAGUUAACCCUGGACUGAUGCUUACUCCUACUUAGUUAACAGAACUAUUUCUGACAAUUAGCUUCACCACCACCACCAACUAGCACGUCGUCUCCUCGGAACCCAAAAGGAAGGGUGCUAAGGGUGCGUUUGGUAACAUUUCUGUUUAAAAAUUGUUUUUGGGAAUAGAAAUAGAAAAAAAUAUUUCUGUUUCAGGAAACAAUUUUUGAACAAAAAAACGCGUUUGGUAAAUCUGUUCUAGAAAUAUAAAAAGAAUAAAAACAUGUUUGGUAAAUUUGUAUAAUUUUUUUUAUUUCUUUUAAAUUUUUAAUAUUUUUAUUUUCUUUCUUAUUUUUCUUAUCUAUUUUUCCUUUUUUUUUCUUUUUUCUUUUUUCUUCUUUUGCUCGGUCGCCGACCUCGGCCAUGGCCAACGACCAGUCGACGAGGGCCGGCAGCCUCGCCCAGCCACGGCGAGGCUCACCGGCCCCCGGUAAGGCCAAGCCUCGUUGUAGCUGGGCGAGGCUCGGCCUCGCCUUGGCUGGGCGAACUCGAUCUCGCCCAGAUCCAGCGAGGCCGAGCCUCACCAGCCGCUGGGCGAGCUCGGCCUCGCCAAAUAUGGGCGAGAUUGAGCUCGCCCAGCCCGGCGCUAGGUCGGCCUCGCCAGGGGCCGGUGACGCUCAACCUCGCCAGGGGCUGGCGACGCUCCGGCGAGGUCGCCGGCCCUCGACGGCCCUCGACAACCAAUCGCCAGCCAUGGCCGAGGCCGGCAACUGGCCAAAGAAAAAAGAGAGAAGAAAAUGAAAAAGAGAGAAAAAGUGUUCCUAAAUUUUGUUUCAGAAACAAGAAAUAACUUUUUUUUUGUUUCUUGUUUCCGUUCCAAAUGUGUUUCUGGGAACAAAAAAUAAUUUUGGAACAAAAACGCAGACAAACGCGUUUCUAUUCAUUUUUUGUUCCCAAGAACAAAAAAAUAAAAAUUUGCGUUCCUGAGAACCUAAACACAUUUUAACAAAGAGGCCCUAAUUGGUUGUCCUUGUCCUCUCAGUCAAAACAAGUCUUGUUUUUCCUUUAGCUUUCCACGGCCCUGUAAUGAAAUGCACAAUUGCCGGACCGAGAGCUUUGACUUUGUGCUAAUGAAAGCGCCUCGUUAACAAGCAAACACGUCAAAUCAUGUUGUCUCUCGUCUUUAGAUCACCGCUUUUGCCUCGUUACCAUCCUCUCACCAUCUCCAUUUCCUUCAUCGGUAUCAUUCAUAUCUAACUUCAUUUCUCUCACUCAACGACAUCCUAAUGGCUUCCAUCGACCCGUCUUUUUCUCACUCCCACCCAUUAGAUUGAUCAAACACAUGUGAUCCACCUUAGGUAAUAUUCUUAAGAGGUUAUCGUGGGUCCGUUUGAUAACGUUUUCAUUUCAGGAAAUAAUUUUCUUUUAGAAAUAAUCUUUUUCUAUUUCUAUUCUUUGAAAUAAUUUCUCAAUAAAAAAAUAUAUUUGGUAACUAUAAAAAAUUUCUAUUCCCGAAAUGAAAAAAGAAUAAGAAUGUGUUUGGUACGAUUCACAAAAAUUUUUAUAAUGUAGAAUUUUUUUUUUUUAAUUCUUCCUUACCACAGUCGACUGCUGACCUUAGUCCAUCGCCACCCAUUGCUGACCCCUGUGGCCAAUGAUCACUGACGACCCUGCUCGCUGCGGUUGACUAUCGAUCAGCCGGUGACGGCUAUUGAUCGGCCAAUCAAUGGGCGGUGGCGGUGGUGUUAGCGAUCAUCGUUGGUCGUCAGUGGCAAGCCACAGUGACAACGGUCAGCAAUGACGGCAACCAUAGCAGGCGGCAAAGGGGGGUGGUGGCCGUCAAAUAAGAAGAAAAAUGAGAAAAGAAAAAAAAAAGAAAAGAGAAAAUAACUUAUUUCUAGAAAUUGUUUCUGGGAACAAGAAGUUACUUUUUUCUACUUCUUAUUUAUAUUAUAAAUUUAUUCCCCGGCCACUUUUCUAUUUCAGGGAAUAAAAAAUUAUUGACGUUACCAAACAGAUCUUUAUUUUUAUUUUUUGUUCCAAGGAACAUAAUAAUGUAAAUUUGGAGAAAUAGAAUUGUUACCAAAUAGGGCUUAUAUAUGCAUGUUCGUUUGUAUUAAAAUAUUCAAUCUAUGGCCUUUGGCGAUUUAUUGCCUUGGAUUGUUAGAUUGAAGAUGGGAAUCAUGAAAAGAAAUGUUGGCCGAGAACUCAGUUGGAUCUUGGUUUAGGAAUAGGAUGUAGGUUGACCUUGAUGGGGAUCCUGUUUUGACUUCAACUAUUGAGCGAAACAAAUUGUAAAUUGGCUCAUCGAUCCAGUAAAACACUCUUUUGGGCUUGAAGUCUCAAAGUUUCAUUGUAUAAUUCAAGCCUACUUGAACACAAUUACUUCUAAGAGUUUCCUUGAGUUCAACCAACGAACAUUUUAACACUGUAAAGAAGAAGAAGAAGAAGAAGAAGAAGAAGAAGAAGAAGAAGAAGAAGAAGAAGAAGAAGUAUGCUCUCCCUAUCGGUUUGCCCAAGCCCACCGACGCCAUACCACCAACCUUCAACCAACACCCAAUAUCCUCUACCUCGAAAAACUCUCUAGUGCAUUCGAAUUAUAUAAGCCCACUCAAUCACAUUGUUUAAAAGAUGUGGGUGCGAUGUAGGUCACACCCAGGAUCAAGUGGCCUCGUCCCACCACUUGCACAAGGGGUGAGCAUGAUUCUAAAGUAUGACCUGGAAUUUGAGAACCAGAUCAAUAGAAAUCUGUUCAGUUCAGAUUUCAAGAUAUGCAUGAUAAGUUUCAGGUUUAAAAAAUUAGAGAACCUCUUUUGAGAGAUAGAUUCCAAGUUCUAGGUCGAUGGAAUUAGGAACUUGUACAUAAAACUUGGAAUUAGUUUUUGCAUUUUUCUUGAUCCAUGUCUUCAUUGAUCGUAGGGUGUUUCAUGGCAUUCGAUGAUAAAUGUAUAAUUUGAAAUCACUAAUGGAGCUUCCAUUUUAUGUCUAAAACUUUUAUUUUCUUAAUGUUUCAUAUUUUUCAUGUGUUUAAAUAUAAAUUGUUAUUAAUGAAUUGUAGUAAUAAGUAGUAGUCAUUAAAGUCACUACAAUCAUUCAAUUAAUAAUAUAGGUAGAGCUUGGAUAGAACUUAGAACCGAGCUUGGAACCUGUAACAAGAUAGGUAAUGUUCCAGCAUAUACCUACAGGUUCCAAGAAAUGAGGAACUUAUUCCGUAAAUAGCACUGACACCGACAUGUGGCACGCAACACAUGACGCAACAUGCUGAUACGUCGUUUCUAAAAAAAUAGAGAAUUUUAAUACAUUAUGACACAUUAUGCAUUAUACAUGAUAAAUUUUAUUUUUAUGAUUAUUUUAAUUGAAUUAAUUUGAUUCAAAUUCACAAAUAAAUAAAUAAUAAAAAGGAGCAAAGAGUAAAUUUACACUAAAAAUAUUAACCCGCGAUUUGUCAAUAUCAUUUAUUGUUUUAAUUUAACAUAUUCAACUUUUAAAAAUUGGAGAAAAAAAAAGCAAUUUAUAUUCUAAACUUGCGUGUUAGAGCAUGUCCAAAGAAAAGAGAAACAAAUAAACUUGGAGGAUAAAUUAUGUGUCACAGAAAGUGAAAGUUAGAAAAUAAAAGAGACUAGGUUUUUCUUCUUUUCCAUUUAUUAUUAUUUUAAAAAAAAAUUGAUCAUGUACGUAUCGAAAUUUCGAAUCGCAUGUCAGAAUUUCAAAUUAGCGUGUUGAAGAGUAUCAAAAAAGUUGACAAUGUAUUGGAUUUUUCAAUACUUGUUGAUUGAGUGUCGAACACAUGCUGGAGUGUUUAAUAUAACACGAAAGCUCUCGAAGAGUGUCAAUGCUUUCUAACACAUUUCAACACGUAUGUUUUAAAUUCAAGAUAGAACUUGUGUGAAAUCUAAAACUGUUUACCCUUAUACGUACUUUUGCUUUAAUACCAUUUCCACCCACUUGUGCGCCUCUUGUAACCUUUUCUCUCUCUCUCUCUCUCUCUAUAUGUCUCUAUUUUAAAUUAUAUGGAUGAUAUGUCUUAUGUUAGUGCUAAAGUUAAGAUGAUUUUAAAACAAAUUUAAACUUUCGGUCACACAAUUCAAUUCCCACGCAUGACGUUAUCCCUUUCACCGUACUCAUCCCAUAUACGCAUCAUCGGUCAAACGAAGGCCACCACGUGGCGCAAAAUCCACGAGUGUCCCGUGCAGGGGCCAAUAUUAUCGACCGCCAUUUGAGGCCGACAAAGCCGCUAUAUCUUCAAGCAUAAGUCAGCCGACUAUUGCAUCCACCACCGCGUCUCUUAUACCAAAAUUACCAAAAAAAAAAAAAUUAAACUUAUCACACCCAUACCAAUUCAAUUUUAAAUAUUUUAACUUGAUCAAUUUUACCAACAUAAUCCAUUCAACCAUUUACUAGAAAUAGUUUAUGCGGAUAUCGGUUGUAUUCUGUGAUAUAAUUAGCACUGAUAUGAAUAAAUUUUAUAAAUCAUUAUUAUUUUUGUUUCUAAAUUUUGCUUUAUGUAUAUUUUAUUUUAUUACUCUAUUUUUAUUCUCUCUAUCAAUUGCCGGACCUCGGCAAUGUUCGGUGACAAACCAAGGCAAUGAUCUGCGAGGACCCUCGUCGAAGGCCAACAAGGGUCGACCAAGGCCAAGCUUACUUCGAGGGAUACUUGCUUUUGCCAAUUUGGCAAGGGGCAUAUGAGGUUAUGACCUUGCCAAUCAUCUCUAGUGGCUGGUCCCUAUCUCCAAGGCUCGAUGAUUGGUGGAGGAAGACGAAAAGAAAAGAAAAGAAAAGAAGAGAAAAAUAUAUUUAGAAAUUUAGAAAAAAAUAACAAAAAUUGCAUAAAGUGUCACAUCAGUGACAUGAUUCAAUUGAUGAAUUUAAAGAUUUUAGAAUUAAAUUAGUAUACAUAUAAUAAAUUUAAAUUUUUUUUAGUAAUUACUCUCACCACAGUUUCACGUUCCUCUGCACAAAUUUGCGACUUAGUCUUGUUGCCCCACCGACCAUCCCUUAAUUGCAUCACAAACCGACCCACUUCUAUUAAUUAUAUUGGAUGCGCGUAAAUCAAGAAAUGUCCAUGGCCAUAAUAAUAAUUAGAGAAUAACGUUUCGUUUUUUUCAAUAAAUUUUUUGAAAAAGCCCUACCGCCCUUCUCCGAGGCUAAAGAGGAAGAUCAGUGAAAGGUCAGUUUCGUCCAUUCAACUGUAGCUAAGAUGGUUUUUUUUUUUUUUUUUUUGGUCAAAGGUAAGCUGGAUUGCAUUGCCCACUCUCUGUUUGAAUUUCAGCUGACAGCUCGCAAAAAAGGAGCUAUUAUAUUUAGCCUGAAUUCCAACAUAGAGUCCCAUCGCAAAGACAGGUUCCGCUCCUUUUGCGCCCAUGUCCACUUCCAUUAAUCAAUUUUUUCUGAUCAAUUUAAACACGAGAGAUGUUAAGAGAUAGAAAUAUGUCAUACCAUUUGAUAGUGAAAUUGAUAUGUUUUUUAUAUAUAUGUGUGUUAUCCUUUUGCCUAUCAAUUUAAGUUUUUAAUUAAGGCUUUUUAAUAAUUUGAUUUUAGAAAAAAUUUAAGAAAAUUCGAUGUAAAUUAUUUUGUUCAAAACAUCAAUUGCAAAAGGUACAUUAAGCAUUAUCAUGUUUUUGUGAUUGGUUUCCUAAAAAGCUGUCUUGAGAGCGUAAAUGAUGACUUUACGCGUAGUCGGGCACCAGUGGUCUUUUGUCAAUCUUGCUGGUGAAGUUGCAACUGGGACUUUCAAGACCAUCAUGAGCUGCCCUCCGUUUGUCUCUUUCCAGGCAGGUUCCGGCGCUUUAAUCCCCUACUACGUUCCCCACUUCAUAUUAAUUAUUAUAUUAUAAUAUAUAGUCGUACAAUAAAAUAAUCAAAGCAUCAUGCCAUCACCCUCGUCCCACCCUUGUAUAAAUACUCCUCCUCCCUUCGACACAGCCCACAUCUUAAACAAAGCUACCUCUGCUUUGACCUUUCCUCUUUCCUCAGUCUCAGCCCAAAACUCAGCUACAAUGGCAUCCUUCUUCGCUUCUAACACAGCUCUUCCAAAGCUGUUCCUCGCUUCUAACACAGCUCUUCCAAAGCUGUUCCUCGCCCUCUGCCUCCUCCAGAUGGCCUCCGCCACCAGGAGGCUGGCCGAGCUGGUCCAAGACCAGUCCCCGCCCAUGAAGUACCACAGUGGCCCUCUCCUCUCCGGCAAGAUCUCCGUCAACCUCAUCUGGUACGGCCGCUUCAAGCCUUCCCAGCGCACCAUCGUCUCCGACUUCGUCACCUCCCUCUCUUCCGACCCCUCUUUGGCUCAGGCCCCUCCUUCCGUCUCCCAGUGGUGGAAGACGGUCGACAAGUACUACUACCUCUCCUCCUCCAAGAGGCACGCUCCCUCUCUCACGCUUUCCCUCGGGAGGCAAGUCCUCGACGAGAGCUACUCGCUAGGGAAGUCCCUCACGAGCAAGCAC